AGACAUGGCCAAGGCUGGUCAAAGUGCAGUAUCUGUUCUUAACAAUUUAGUAUAUGUGAUGCAGGUUGUAUUUAGACCUAAGAUACUAAACCUAUUUUUGCAAUUUGGCGGAGGGCUUAAAGACGGCGUCACCUCCACCGCGGGUGGGCCCGGCAUUGCACUAUCUUUCCGGAUCGGCCCAAGUAUG